GGAAUGAAACUGUGAACCCGCUCGGCUAAAUCGAUCAGUCAUCAUAUGAAGUCGAUCUAGGCUUUUUUUUAAAUAAAGAUCUAGGCUUUUUUAUGGUGUUUCCUCUCGAUUCCCCUCGUUCCACUUCCGCCGCCCGCGCCCAAGUGCCCCCGUGCCCCGUCACAUCAUGAGCCCCGAUCCACGAGUGUCGCCGUUUCCUGUCCUUCUCGCCCUUCGCGUCUCAAAUCGGAGAAAACCUAGGCCAUACGCCGAUCAGUGCUAGCAGGGGCAGGGAGAUGGUGAUGAUUGGUUUUGGUCCUUGGCGCCGUCGAGCACGCGGUGCUAACAGAUUGUGGUGGCGCGGUAUUUUGCCCAUUUGAUCUGCAUGACACAACAGUUAGAUGAGUGGGUUUUUAGUUAAUAAAACAUGAAACAGAAAGUUCUGGAGUUUUUUGCACUUACUUUCACCUCCCUGGUCACGCACUGGAGGAGGAAUGGACUUCUGAUGAUAUGGCCGGCCAACCCAGGGAUACUUUUGGUUCCCUUUCAUGUGUAAUCUACGAACUAGCAAUUGGGAGCUAGCAAUUUCAACCUGAUGUUAUUGAAGAAUCUGUGCCGGGUAUUGAAAUCAAAAGUAACUGCAACCAACGCGUACUGAUGCAUUCCUCAAAGAAAAAUGUACUCAUGCAAUGAACCCAGCUAAGUGUAUGUAACACAGUUAGAUGUUUUCUUUCAUACUGGUAAUACUUUUUUUUGCAGAGAUACUGUUGAUACCUUGAAUUUUUUUAUCUACAACUAGCAUUUGGAAUAUAUCACUUUCAUAUUCCUGCUGGUACGGAAGAAUCAAAAUAGCCGAGGCCCCAGAUGAUAUUUAUGCUCUCUCGAUGAUCGCAUUCUGCAUUAGAAGCAAUGCUCAGUGCAAGAUUGGCCUGUCCUUCAUUGAGAUAGCGAUCAAACCGGAAAUCAAGUGACUUUGAUUCCUUAUCGGCAUCGCAGCUACCACAAGUGCUUUUUCCCUGUUAUGAAAAAGGCAAGCAGAUGCAUUAGCUAUGUCAUGGAUAAAAACUACAGUGAAUAUACAGAAGAUUAGUCUUUUAAGAACAUACACUGAGGGACAGAGGCAAUGUCGAUAUUUGUUUAAUGAUGGUGUUUUCACCAAUGCCCAAAUGUAAUGUCCUCCACAUGCACAGGCUAUCCUUGAGAUUGCAAAGGAAUAUUGCAAAUUUGCACUUGCCAGAGUUUACAUUAGCACAGACUUUAGCUUCGAAACUUUUGAUGAAGUAUCCAUCAGGUGUGGCAUUAGCUGCUAUAACAAACACUCCACAAUCAUCAUUUAGCUGCAAGUCUUUUGGUUCUUGAUCAGCAUUGCGAGUAAUGUGAUGUGAUGACCACCUUGUUCAAAACAUGUGUUGAUGUCCAGGUAUGCAUAAGAGGUAUUCACAUGCAUUUCUUUUGAAGAAGAAUCACCCACAUGCACUGGUAAGAUGCCAAGAAGCUUGUAAUACUCGGAUGUGCUGAUGGAUUUCAGACUAGACUUUAUUUCUGAUCGUACUUCUUCUAUCAAGGGCUUCUUGAAGCUUGUCAAAUAUUGUUCACUUGAAUGGAAUGUUGUAGGGAUCUUCUCAACCUGCAUGUCAAGUAACAGUAAUAUUGUAAAUCUGCUGGUGUUGUUUCUGUCUGUAAGCUGAAAAAAAGUGCUUCUUUUGGCUACUUUGUUUUUGGGCCCAAUUUAUGAUUUCUUUGAUUGAGUUGUAGCAAUAUUUUGAAUGAAUGAUAAGAAAAAUGCCAUUUUGAAUUAUCUU